GUGCUCGCUGCGGUAGCACAUAUACUGAAAUUGGAACUGUACAGAGACGGCCAGCCUGGACUCUGUGCAAGGAUGACAUAUGAAUCUGUGAAGCAUUCUAUAUUUUA